CCCCCCCCCCCGGAAAUGAAUAUCAAUAUCAUAUGCCAUAGAGAAUAUAUAUUCGUAGAAUUAAUCAAUGAAUUAAUAGGAUGUCCAAUUACAAAAGCAUAUUUUGACCAUUGGUUAAUUGUGUAAAUAAUCCUCUUAAGAAAACCAAUGGUCCAAACUUUAUGUCUCUAUCAUAAUCAGUUCAAAAGCUAUUGGAGUUUUUACCUUUGUAGGAUGGCAAAUAUAAGGUGACUAAAUCAAGGGUCCGCGGGCACCUAGGGGUCUACAGAGGUACUGCAGGGGGUCUGCACAUUAUUUUAUUUUUAAAGUGGAUUUAUUUAUUUAUUAUUUCAAUGUUUUUAUGAAUAUACUUUGAUAUUCCUGUUUAUUUAAAUCACUGAACUAAAAUACAUUUUAUUUGGUCUUUCAUGUUACAUCAGAUGUGAGUUGUUUUUAUGUUUUUAUUUAUUUAACUAGGCAAGUCAGUUAAGAACAAAUUCUUAUUUACAAUGACAGCCUACCGCGGCCAAACCCGGACGACGGUGAGCCAAUUGUGCACUGCCCUAUGGGACUCACAAUCACGGCCAGAUGUGAUGCAGCCUGGAUUCGAACCAAGAACUGCAGUGAUACCUCUUAGACUGAGAUGCAGUGCCUUAGACCGCUGCGCCACUCGGGAUCAAGGCCAAAAGUAUGUUGACACCCCUUCAAGCUAGUGGAUUCGGGCCUACCAGCCCAGACCUAGCUACAGGACCACGAGAACGCUUGCCGCUGAAGACUUCACAGAGCUGAACCAAACAUACAGCCAGGCAACAACCCAUACUGCAGGCCUACUGUUCCAUAAAGAAGUCAGCCAGCGACACUGAAAACACACUGAAAACUAUCACGCCCUGACCUUAGAGAGCCUUUUUAUUUCUCUAUUUUGUUAGGUCAGGGUGUGAUUAGGGUGGGAAUUCUAUUUUUUCGUUUUCUAUGUUGGCCUGGUAUGGUUCCCAAUCAGAGGCAGCUGUCUAUCGUUGUCUCUGAUUGGGGAUCAUAUUUAGGCAGCCUUUUUCCCACCUGUUUGUGGGAUCUUGUUUUUGUGUAGUGCCUGUGAGCACUCCAUUUCUUCACAUUUCGUUUGUUUCUUUAUUGUUUUCUGGGAGUUUCAUUGAAAUAAACAUGUGGAACUCUA